rnacentral:rRNA from 1 species
AUUGAACGCUGGCGGCAGGCCUAACACAUGCACGUCGAACGAGUGGCGGACGGGUGAGUAAUGUCUGGGACACUGCCUGAUGGAGGGGGAUAACUACUGGAAACGGUAGCUAAUACCGCAUACCAUCGGAUGUUCCCAGAUGGGAUUCGCUAGUAGGUGGGGUAAAGGCUCACCUAGGAGACGAUCCCUAGCGGGUCUGAGAGGAUGACCAGCCACACUGGAACUGAGACACGGUCCAGACGCCUACGGGAGGCAGCAGGGGGGAAUAUGGCACAAGGGGCGCAAGCAUGAUGCAGCGAUGCCGCGUGUAUGAAGAAGGCCUGGGGGUUGGAAAGUACUUUCAGCUGGGAGGCGUUACCCGCAGAAGAAGCACCGGCUAACUCCGUGCCAGCAGCCGGGUAAUAC